GGCUCGCUCAAUCUCCCUUAUAUCUCUCCCUCGUCCUCGUGCUCAAUCCAUCGCUACCGCCACUUUCACCCUCCACCAUCGCUUCCUCUUCAACAGAAUCAAAGGUUCCAAGCCACACACCUUGUUUCCCCAAUGUACGACGAUAGCGGAUCUUCUUUCAGAUCUCGGAUCUUCUCUGGUGACAUCUCCUCCGGCGACGACCUCCUUUGGCAACAUCUCUUCCCAUGGUAAUCUCCUCCGGUGAUGUCACCUCUAGCUUUAUCUCCUUUCCAUCCUAGCUCUGCGCCUUCUUUGCCAAAAUCCUCAACGCCUCCCUCAGCGUCUUCUUCGAUGACAUCUCUCUAUUGAAGAUCUGUAAAUCCAAGCCAUCACAAACAGAACAAGCACAACUCUCCCCUGCUUCUUUUGUUCUUCCUUGGCAGAAAAUUUAUGGGAGAAAGCCCUCGUGAGUGAAGCGUCAAUUUUCUUCUUAAUUUGUUAUUCUUUGGUUCAUUUAUGGCAACACUAACUCACACAACCUGCUCGAUGAAAUGCUUCAACUAAAUUCUGCCCUUAUCAAUGCUUUUAUGACAGAACUGGAGCCUGAUUCUCCGGUUAUCCAGAAGUACAUAAAGCAGAACAAUGACGUCACUCUCUGUGCACUCGAGAUGGGGAAGCAACCAUAUCAAGAAUCUACAGGAGAGUGAAAUUUUCAAUUACUUGUUGAUGACAUGGAGCAGUACAAAGUACUUGAGCAAAUUGGAAAAGGUGCUUUUGGUUCUACACUUCUUGUCAAGGAUCAGCAUGAGAAGAAAAAAUGUUACAGCUUUAGUGGUCCUGAUAUGCCAUGCAAACUAAAGAUCUAAUUUAUUGAGAAGAGGGUGUUUUGAAAGAUGUAUCGAACAGUGAAAACUACAGAUAGAGCAGCGGCUUCUUCAGGUACUUGGCAGCAUGUAUCAAAGCAAAUUGCUAGAAGUGAUUAGAAAUUGGAUCAAGAAAGUGAGAUUCCAUUGCCAAAGGAGUUAGAAAGUAGAUCUUUUGAAGCGAAUAAUAGAGAAGCGUGAUUUUUUUUAUGAUAGAGACUUGAUGUAUUAAGAGUUACAUAUUAAGACUUUUAAUACUUUAUUUGUAUAGGAGUCAUUUUUUUUAUUUCCAAUACUAAAAAAAUUAUAUAUUAUGUUUAAUAUUUUAUUUAUGAGUUAUGUAAUAUUUUGUUGAUGAGUUA